rnacentral:tRNA from 1 species
GAGCAUGACUGGCGUAAUGGGAACUGCUAAUUACCCAUGCCCACAGUUCAAUUCUGUGGUUUGCUCA